rnacentral:misc_RNA from 1 species
UGGCGGAUACGAUGCGUAUCGAGUGUACGUAAUCCGGGCCCUGUUGUUUAUUUUUCGUUUACUGUGGUUUAACCUCACUUAACUAGAUAGAUCGAGAAAUAUUAAAUUACUAUUACUAUUAUUCAGGUUGAAAAAUGCCUUCCUGUAAGGUAAAAGGUUGCGAAGUCGAUUGGGGAAAAAUAAUGUGAAAAUGAAUUCUUUCCCAAAAGAAUCUGAACGACGGAAAGUGUGGAUUAAAAAUAUAGGGUUAAAACAAGAUCCAAACAAAUAUGCUGUUGUUUGUGAAAAAAACUGUAAAUAGUAACGAUUUUGAAUGAGUGAGAAGUCUAAUAAAGCCACGACGAGAUACUGUAUUAGAGCGUACGAUUUGGAGGUAUUUUUGAUUAGAUACAUUUUGUAAAGUACAAUAUAAAUUAGAUUUGAUAAUGUGUAGUAUUUCCUAAUAAAUUAAAUACUAUUAAGUGUUUAUUGUUCUUGUAAGUUAGUGUGGUAAAUAAAUAAUAUGAAGUAAG